GCUGUAGCUUAGCGAUAGAGCAUCUGCUUUGAGUGCAGAAGGCUCCAGGUUCAAUCCCUGGCAUCUCCA